UAGGGAAUCUUCGGCAAUGGGGGCAACCCUGACCGUGCAACGCCGCGUGAGUGAAGAAGGUUUUCGGAUCGUAAAGCUCUGUUGUAAGUCAAGAACGAGUGUGAGAGUGGAAAGUUCACACUGUGACGGUAGCUUACCAGAAAGGGACGGCUAACUACGUGCCAGCAGCCGCGGUAAUACGUAGGUGGCAAGCGUUAUCCGGAUUUAUUGGGCGUAAAGAGAGUGCAGGCGGUUUUCUAAGUCUGAUGUGAAAGCCUUCGGCUUAACCGGAGAAGUGCAUCGGAAACUGGAUAACUUGAGUGCAGAAGAGGGUAGUGGAACUCCAUGUGUAGCGGUGGAAUGCGUAGAUAUAUGGAAGAACACCAGUGGCGAAGGCGGCUACCUGGUCUGCAACUGACGCUGAGACUCGAAAGCAUGGGUAGCGAACAGGAUUAGAUACCCUGGUAGUCCAUGCCGUAAACGAUGAGUGCUAGGUGUUGGAGGGUUUCCGCCCUUCAGUGCCGGAGCUAACGCAUUAAGCACUCCGCCUGGGGAGUACGACCGCAAGGUUG
rnacentral:rRNA from 1 species